UAUAAUAGAAUACUAUUUAGGCUUUAAAAAAAGCCUGUCAUUUGUGACAUCGGAAGAACCCAGAGGUAGUAAUAUUAAACAUAAGCCACACACAGAAAAACAAAUACUGCACGAUCUUACUUAUAUAUUUAAGUUUGCAUUUGCUUUAUUAACUGUAGAAAGAGGUGUGUUAAGGUCUACCAAUAUGACUGUAGUUUUUGCCUUUUGCCUUUCUAUUUUUGUUUAUAUAUUUUGGGACCAUAUUAUUUUUUGAAUACAAAUUUAGAGUUUUUAUAUCUUCUUCAUGAAUCUAAUCUUUAUUAUUUACAGUAACUCUCUUUCUCUAAGACAUAGAUAGUGUUAAAGUCUAUUUUAGUUUAAACGACUAUAAUUAACACCAGGGUUUUUUGGUUAGUGUACUUUUCUGUGGUCUUUUAAUGUUGCUGUGUUUCUAUAUGCUAAAUGCAUCUCUUGUGAGCAUCGUAAACCGGUAUGAUUAUUUUCUUCUUCCAGGUUUCCAAUCUUUGCCCUUUAACUGAAGGUUGUUUUGCUAUCCAUUCACCUUACACCGAGGCUGCAGUUGCUUAGAAAUGCAGACUGAAUGCAGUCUUUACUGUUAGACUCUCUACUUAGGGUGGACUUCCUGAGCCUUGAGAAGCCAUCUGAAUGAGAAUAAAGGUAUAAACUAUUCACGUAUGAAGAACCUACUAUGCAGACUUUUCAGUGGAAACCUCAUAGCCCAGGAAAUGGUGGCAUGACACACUUAAUGUGCCAGCCUAGGACAUCAAGAGGCAAGGGGCAGCUUUGAGUUCAUGAGGACCAACUCGACUUUGUCUCCAGAGAGCAAACCAUUGAUGGGUAAGACACUUCCAAGAAUCUCAUCAAAAUUUGCCUUUUCUUUCACAAAUUUAGGCGGCAAUAUGCUCAAAUUCAGAUUGCUCAAGUUAACUUCGUUGCUGCUCUGUGCACAGGCCACGGGUCUCAGUGCAACACAGAAGCCCUUCCUGAGGAUCAUGUCUGAGAGGCCAGACUUCUUUAGACAAAGUGUAGUUUCACUUGCCCCAGCUCUCCCUGCAUAUGUCAGAUCAGCCUACUUGUAAUAAAAUUCACACAAAGAAUUUCCAGUGGGAAUCUCUCUGAACUGGAUAGGCAGCUCUCUCCAGCACUGCCACCAGAUGUUUCUACACCAGAGCAUUUUCCAGCCUCUGAAUGUUCUGGCGUCCUCCCUAGUGAUCUCCCAGUACCUGCAGGUCACAGGAUAACAGGGGCUGCGGUAGCCUCACCUAGGAGCUCCUGGAGCAGGGGAGACACAACAGUGGCAGAAACUUGAUUUCUAAUGGAGCUGUGUUGGGAGGAGGGACCCAAAGGGGGAUGUUUGAAUCAUGGGGACACUCCACUCAUGAAUGAAUUAAUUAUAUUAUCACGAGAGUGGAUCCCUUAUUAAAAGACAAAUUUGUCUCCUCUUACUUUCUCUCAUGCCCUAUUUGCGCUUCAAUCAUGAGAUGACACACCAAGAGGGUCCUCACAAAAUGCCAGCCCAUUGAUCUUGGAUUUUCCAGCCUCUAGAACUGUGAGCCAGUCCAUUUCUGUUCAUUAUAGAUUACCCAGUGUGUUGUAUUCUGUUAUAGCUGUGCAAAAUGGACUAAAGCAGCAAGAGAUCAGGAUUUUGUUUCUGGUCCAUCUUUUGUAUUGGCAAAUGAGCCGACUGUAUAGUUUAUGUCGUAAGAAGCGCAGAUAUAAAAAGAUAAUACAUUCAGUGUUUUCUCUUUCAUGUUCAUUCAACUAAAUGAGUUAUGGCAAGUGUGAGAGGUGAGGGUGGGAAAAACACAAAGGUAAAUGUGGCAUAUUGGGAGCUGGUAUGAAGUCUUAAUCUCAGAAGUUAGGAGGCCUGCAUUUGUACGUCACCACUCCUAUCUUCCAAAUCUUGGGCAGGUUAUACAGCAUAAUUAAUCCUCAACUGCCUUACCUGUGAAAUAAUACUAAUGAUGCCUAUCUUAUAAAAUUAUUUUGAAGAUUAAAAAAAAUUUGACUUAGCAUUUGACACGUAAUAUCUUCUUCAUAAAUGGAAGUUACUGUUAUUUUUUAUUAAGAUAGAGCCCUUGGCAUGUGGAAGCCACAGUUUGGCUCUUAUUAUACUAAAGACUGUGAUGAGAAUAAAGAGUGCUAUAAUCUUCAUACACACAAAAUGUUAUGGGGCAUUUGGAGAAGAAAGACAGACAGUGAGAGAGACAGUGGGAAGAGGGAGAGAGGUUAUUUCUACCUGGAAAAUUUGGGAAGGUAUAAUUUGAAGAGCUAUUAGAGUAUUAUGUCAGACCACAGAACUAGCUGUGAACAUAUGACCUCUGGAAAUACUGAGAUAAUGGCUUUUCCUCAACUUCAUAAACUGCUAAUUUCUUGAGUUUUGAGACAGCCU